GAACGCUGGCGGCGUGCCUAAUACAUGCAAGUCGAGCGAACGGACGAGAAGCUUGCUUCUCUGAUGUUAGCGGCGGACGGGUGAGUAACACGUGGAUAACCUACCUAUAAGACUGGGAUAACUUCGGGAAACCGGAGCUAAUACCGGAUAAUAUUUUGAACCGCAUGGUUCAAAAGUGAAAGACGGUCUUGCUGUCACUUAUAGAUGGAUCCGCGCUGCAUUAGCUAGUUGGUAAGGUAAUGGCUUACCAAGGCAACGAUGCAUAGCCGACCUGAGAGGGUGAUCGGCCACACUGGAACUGAGACACGGUCCAGACUCCUACGGGAGGCAGCAGUAGGGAAUCUUCCGCAAUGGGCGAAAGCCUGACGGAGCAACGCCGCGUGAGUGAUGAAGGUCUUCGGAUCGUAAAACUCUGUUAUUAGGGAAGAACAUAUGUGUAAGUAACUGUGCACAUCUUGACGGUACCUAAUCAGAAAGCCACGGCUAACUACGUG
rnacentral:rRNA from 1 species